GGCCACGCCCGGAUGCGCAGCGGACAGGAUCCAGGCCGGUCGGCCCGCGGGCCACAAGCUCUGCUGGGGCUGCCCCAGCGCGGGGACCGGGACGGGGCGCGGGGGCCAGGUGCGGCCGGGCCUCACCUCCACGGCUUGGCCCAGCUCCAGGUCGAAGCCCACCACACACACGCAAUGCAGCCAGGCUGAGAAGCCGUCCCAGCGCAGCAGGCCCCGGCUGCGGCCCUCGUCCUCUUCAACGUCCUCUGGCGCGUCUCCCGCCGCCACCACGGCCGGCACCUCGCGUUCCUCGUCCGCUGCCCCCGCCUCAUCCAACAGCCCGCGGGAGCCGGGCCCCGAGCCUGCCAGGCCCCGCAGAGCCAUCCGCCGCCCCCUGGCUGUUUGCGCCGCCUCCACUGCGGACCGCGCCACAGAGCGCGCUCGGCUCCGCGCAGACGCAGCCGCAGCUGCCGCAGCCGCGGGGGACGGGCUCGGCCGGGGCGGGGCCGCGGCCCAUGUGACCCUGGGAGCCCGGCUCUCCACGGGUCCUCCUGUACCGCCUCCCGGAGUGGAAGACGUCGCGCAGGCCCGUGACUGGGAUUGUGAAGCCUGCUCUAGAGCCUCCGUGCUUUAAAGCUCUUCAAGACUGAAGCAGUGAAUCCUGGAAUCCUCCUUCGCAGUCCAACGACCAGGGAAUGAAUUAUUCUUGGAAUGACACCGUUCAUAAUUAUAAGGAGAAAGAUGGAAAUACUCCGAAGACCAUUGCAUUGCCUGCAAGUCCUUCAGCAACUGAAACCACUUUUCUGUGCCCUUCUUUCUUGACCACCUCUCCUUAUGCUCCAGUAAUACAGACCUACUUGUAAUUCC